UACGAGGGGUGCAAGCGUUGCUCGGAAUUAUUGGGCGUAAAGAGCUCGUAGGCGGUUUGUUGCGUCGGCUGUGAAAUCCCGAGGCUCAACCUCGGGUCUGCAGUCGAUACGAGCAAACUAGAGUGUUGCAGGGGAGACUGGAAUUCCUGGUGUAGCGGUGAAAUGCGCAGAUAUCAGGAGGAACACCGGUGGCGAAGGCGGGGUCUCUGGGCAACAACUGACGCU
rnacentral:rRNA from 1 species